UACAGAGGUCCCAAGCGUUGUUCGGAUUCAUUGGGCGUAAAGGGUGCGUAGGCGGCGCGGUAAGUCGGGUGUGAAAUCUCGGAGCUUAACUCCGAAACUGCAUUCGAUACUGCCGGUGCUUGAGGACUGGAGAGGAGACUGGAAUUCCUGGUGUAGCGGUGAAAUGCGCAGAUAUCAGGAGGAACACCGAUGGCGAAGGCAGGUCUCUGGACGU
rnacentral:rRNA from 1 species